rnacentral:rRNA from 1 species
UACGGAGGGUGCGGGCGUUGUCCGGAAUCACUGGGCGUAAAGGGCGCGUAGGCGGCCUGAUAAGUAGGGGGUGAAAUCCUGCGGCUUAACCGCAGGGCUGCCUUCUAAACUGUCAGGCUAGAGCACAGUAGAGGCAGGUGGAAUUCCCGGUGUAGCGGUGGAAUGCGUAGAGAUCGGGAAGAACAUCAGUGGCGAAGGCGGCCUGCUGGGCUGUUGCUGACGCUGAGGCGCGACAGCGUGGGGAGCAAACAGG